rnacentral:rRNA from 1 species
AUGGCGACGAUCAUGGCGGCGCGCGGGCAGGGACUGGAGCAAGAUUUCGAUUUCUUCGUGGUGGUCGACUUCGAGGCGACGUGCGUGAAAGACGCGCGGAUCUUCCCGCAAGAAAUCAUCGAGUUCCCCGCGGUGCUCGUCGACGGUGCUACCGGCCGCAUCGAGUCUGCCUUUCGCAGGUACGUUCGUCCCAAACAUCACCCUGUGCUGACCCAGUUUUGCAGGGAACUCACCGGCAUCCGGCAGGAGGACGUCGACGGCGGAGUGGAUCUCGGCGAGGCGCUCUGGCUGCACGACGCUUGGUUGAAGGCAGCGACGGCGGGGGCAGGGAACAAGAGGAGCGUCCGCUUGGCCGUCGUGACCUGGGGCGACUGGGACUGCCGCACCAUGCUCGAGUUCGAGUGCCGCUUCAAGGGCAUCGAGAAGCCCUCCUACUUCGAUCAGUGGAUCAAUCUGAGAGUCCCCUUCCAGGCGGCGCUCGGCGGCGGAGGGCGGGUCAACCUGCAGGAAGCGGUCCGGGCGGCGGGGCUGGACUGGGAGGGCCGCCUGCACUGCGGGCUGGACGACGCGCGCAACACCGCGCGGCUGCUAGCUGAGCUCAUGCGGCGCGGGGUCAAGAUCACCAUCACCGGCUCGCUGGCGGCGCCGCCGCCGCCGAUGCAGAAGCAGCCGGCUCGCACAAGCCCUUGCGGUGGCUCACCGGCGCUGGCGUCGGCGCCGCCGCCGAUCCAGCAGCAGCCGGCUCGCACAGGCCCUUUCGGUGGCUCGUUUGCGCUGGUGCCGGCGCCUAUCCAGCAGAAGCAGCAGCCGCCGCAGCCUUACAUGAUCAGCCCCUGCGGUGGCUCCUCGGCGACGUGCUUGUGCUACUGCGGGCUGGCGAGCAGAGGAGACGUGAUGCACGGGAAGUGCUUCUCGGGAUGCGCUAGCUGGUCGCCGGCCAUGGGACCCGUGCCCCCCUACUUCGCGUGGAGCAACUGA